rnacentral:rRNA from 1 species
AGGGCACCACCAGGAGUGGAGCCUGCGGCUUAAUUUGACUCAACACGGGAAAACUCACCCGGCCCGGACACUGGAAGGAUUGACAGAUUGAGAGCUCUUUCUUGAUUCAGUGGGUGGUGGUGCAUGGCCGUUCUUAGUUGGUGGAGUGAUUUGUCUGGUUAAUUCCGAUAACGAACGAGACUCUAGCCUACUAAAUAGAUCGUCGGCUUACAAACGCCGGCGAGACUUCUUAGAGGGACAGGCGGUGAUUCAACCGCACGAAACAGAGCAAUAACAGGUCUGUGAUGCCCUUAGAUGUCCGGGGCCGCACGCGCGCUACACUGAAGUGAUCAGCGUGCUUUUUCAACCUACUCUGUCAAGAGUGUGGAACCCAAUGAACCUUCUUCGUGAUUGGGAUAGGGGAUUGUAAUUUAUUCCCCUUGAACGAGGAAUUCCCCAAAAGCGCGAGUCAUAAGCUCGCGUUGAUUACGUCCCCUGCCCUUUGUACACACCGCCCGUCGCUACUACCGAUUGAAUGUA